AGCAGACCGAUUCUCAAGCCCCAGGCAGACAAUCCCCUACUGUUGAAAUGAAGGGAAUUGUCCAUUAAUAAUUUUCAACGAUAAGCUCACCAUUUGACAUUCAUUUUGACAGGGUCACUUUUUUUUUUGUUGUCAGUAACAGCCAGGUACUAUAAAUAGACCCAUGUUUUAUGCCCUCAGAUUUUCCUUGAAGCCCAAACAAACGGAAUACAUCCCCUCCCAUGCGCUCGGUCGUUUCCAUGGCAACCCUGUAAGGCGUGAGGGUUGGCUUCUAUGGUCGCAUGCGGUUGGACACAUGGAGAGAAUCAUUUUCGCAGUAUACUCAAAACCGUGUCUUUUUGACAACUGCUGACAGCUACAGGGACAAACACAAAAAAUGCUGCUUGGAGACAAGUGUCCACGAUAGUAGGAUUGCCAGAAGAAGACUGUAGGAGGAAGUGGAGAGGACUCAGGAACAGGUAUCAGAGAGACAGAAGGGCAGAGAAAGAGAAGAGGUCUGGGUCAGCAGCUUCAGGCCAGCAGCCUUGGCGCUUCUGCCACAUUCUUUCUUUUCUGGAUCCAUUUAUUGUGCCUAUGGCAACGAGUGGCGAUUUUACAGCCAGACCCUCUACUACGUCUACUUCAUCCACGAGUAUGACCACCACCGGUGCAGCCAUGGAAGACAGUGCGGCAGCGAUGAAGACGAUGAAAUGGAGGAAGCACCUCUGGAUCUCGGACCACCUGAGAUUAUUAUGAACCCCACAGAAGUGACCACUGAGGACCUCGUUGAACAGGAUGUGGCCGUGGAGACAAACGAGGAGAGAAACACAGAGAGAGAAACGAAGAGGAAUGUCGUCACACCAGGCGUCAUCGGAGGUACCAGCUCCCAGAUCCACUCAACUCAUUUCAGCAGAGGCUCUUCCAAGCCGUCGAGAGGGAUGCAGCCCAACCUGAUGUUCACAGGAAGGAGGAUGAAGAGACCCUCUUUGCCAUGAGCCUGGUGCCAACCCUGAAGAGGCUGCCUCAGCAAAGAAAAGCAGCAGUCAAAGUUAAAAUGUAUCAGCUGCUUUUCCAAGCCGAGUUCAAUGAGAUGGAGUCCAUUUAGCCAACCAGCUCACAGGAAGCACAGGAAGAGGAGGAAUCGUCUGGUUGUUGUUUUGACCUCCCUCAUUGUACCUUUCUUUUCACACACGUCCGUUCCGUUUAAAUUCAGUCAAUUCAUAAAGUCAUUUGUUUAUAAAGUCUUAGGAUAGCAUUCAUUAUUAGUGUUACAUAGAUUUCUGAAUUGACAGAAUUGAAACUCAUACACCGGAGAAUUCACAG
rnacentral:lncRNA from 1 species